UACGUAGGGUGCGAGCGUUAAUCGGAAUUACUGGGCGUAAAGCGUGCGCAGGCGGUUCGUUGUGUCCGUCGUGAAAGCCCCGGGCUUAACCUGGGAACUGCGAUGGAAACUAGCGAGCUGGAGUGUGGCAGAGGGGGGUGGAAUUCCGCGUGUAGCAGUGAAAUGCGUAGAGAUGCGGAGGAACACCCGAUGGCGAAGGCAGCCCCCUGGGCUAACACUGACGCUCAGGCACGAAAGCGUGGGGAGCAAACAGG
rnacentral:rRNA from 1 species